rnacentral:ncRNA from 1 species
GUUGGGCUGUUCGCCCAKUWAAGCGGUACGCGAGCUGGGUUUAGACGUCGUGAGACAGUUCGGUCCCUAUCCGCUGCGCGCGCAGGAAACUUGAGAAGGGCUGUCCCUAGUACGAGAGGACCGGGACGGACGAACCUCCUGGUGUGCCAGUUGUUCCGCCAGGAGCAUGGCUGGUUGGCUACGUUCGGAAGGGAUAACCGCUGAAAGCAUCUAAGCGGGAAGCCUGCUUCAAGAUGAGGUUUCCACCACCCUCGUGGUGGGAAGGCCCCCAGCAGACCACUGGGUUGAUAGGCCGGACGUGGAAGCGCGGCAACGCGUGGAGCUGACCGGUACUAAUUGGCCGACAACUUGCCACA